rnacentral:rRNA from 1 species
GUUUGGUCAUAAACUUUAAUUUACCCUACUAUCGCCUAGAGAUUACGAGCAACGCUUAAAACCUAAAGGACUUGACGGUACCCUAUACCCCUCUAGAGGAGCCUGUCCUACAAUUGACAAUCCCCGUUUUACCUCACCACUUCUAGCUUUUCAGCCUGUAUACCUCCGUCCCAGUCCACCCUGUGAAGGAACUAGUAAGCCCAAACGUUAUUAACUAAUAUAUCAGGUCAAGGUGCAGCAAAUGAAGUGGAAAGAGAUGGGCUACACUUUCUGACCGCAGAAAACACGAAAAGUCAUAUGCAACCCAACUAGAAGGUGGAUUUAGUAGUAAAAAGAAAAUAGAGUGUUCUUUUUAACCCGGCACUAGGGUGUGUACAUACCGCCCGUCACCCUCUUCAAGUAGCACAACACUAGUAAUUAACAAAUUCAAAUCUAAAGAGGAGGCAAGUCGUAACACGGUAAGUACACCGGAAGGUGUGCUUGGCAA